AACGAACGCUGGCGGCAGGCCUAACACAUGCAAGUCGAACGCCCCGCAAGGGGAGUGGCAGACGGGUGAGUAACACGUGGGAACCUACCUUGUGGUACGGAACAACCAAGGGGAACUUUGGCUAAUACCGUAUGAGCCCGAGAGGGGAAAGAUUUAUCGCCAUAAGAUGGGCCCGCGUCGGAUUAGCUAGUUGGUGAGGUAAUGGCUCACCAAGGCGACGAUCCGUAGCUGGUCUGAGAGGAUGACCAGCCACACUGGGACUGAGACACGGCCCAGACUCCUACGGGAGGCAGCAGUGGGGAAUAUUGGACAAUGGGCGCAAGCCUGAUCCAGCCAUGCCGCGUGUGUGAUGAAGGCCUUAGGGUUGUAAAGCACUUUCGCCGAUGAAGAUAAUGACGGUAGUCGGAGAAGAAGCCCCGGCUAACUUCGUGCCAGCAGCCGCGGUAAAAC
rnacentral:rRNA from 1 species